CAAGGAGUAGUUUAUAUUAGAAUUUCAGCUUUGGGUGUUGAAGGUGAGGCUUGAGCCUUCUCCUUG
rnacentral:tRNA from 1 species